UACGUAGGGGGCAAGCGUUGUCCGGAUUUAUUGGGCGUAAAGAGCUCGUAGGCGGUUUGGCAAGUCACGUGUGAAAUCUCCACGCUCAACGUGGAGGCGCCACGUGAGACUGCCCUGACUCGAGUCCGGUAGGGGAGCGUGGAAUUCCCGGUGUAGCGGUGAAAUGCGCAGAGAUCGGGAGGAACACCCGUAGCGAAGGCGGCGCUCUGGGCCGGUACUGACGCUGAGGAGCGAAAGCGUGGGGAGCGAACAGG
rnacentral:rRNA from 1 species